rnacentral:rRNA from 1 species
UACGGGGGGGGCAAGCGUUGUUCGGAAUUACUGGGCGUAAAGGGCUCGUAGGUGGCCAACUAAGUCAGACGUGAAAUCCCUCGGCUUAACCGGGGAACUGCGUCUGAUACUGGAUGGCUUGAGUUCGGGAGAGGGAUGCGGAAUUCCAGGUGUAGCGGUGAAAUGCGCAGAUAUCGGGAGGAACACCAAUGGCGAAGGCAGCUCGCUGGGACGUGACUGACGCUGAGACGCGAAAGCGUGGGGAGCAAACAGG